UCAGACGAUGCGUCAUGCAUAUCAAUAAGCGGAGGAAAAGAAACUAACAAGGAUUCCCCUAGUAACGGCGAGUGAAGCGGGAAGAGCUCAAAUUUGAAAUCUUAAAGGGUUUCCCUUUACGAAUUGUAGUUUAAAGAAGUGUUUUCUGUUGAGGUUUUGGUAAAAGUUCUUUGGAAUAGGACAUCAUAGAGGGUGAGAAUCCCGUAUUUGACCUUUACUUUCAACUUUGUGAUACACUUUCAAAGAGUCGGAUUGUUUGGGAAUGCAAAUCCAAAAUGGGUGGUAAAUUUCAUCUAAAGCUAAAUAUUGGCGAGAGACCGAUAGCGAACAAGUACCGUGAGGGAAAGAUGAAAAGAACUUUGAAAAGAGAGUUAAACAGUACGUGAAAUUGUCAAAAGGGAAGCGUUUGACACCAGUGUUGUUUUUCUGAAAAUCAAUUAAAGAACUGUUUAUGCUAAGCUGUUUAGACUUUAUCAGCUAAUCUGUUUAGUUUUGAGCUUUUCUUUAAUGCACUUUUCAGUUAACAAGUCAACAUCAAUUUCUUUUGCUGUAAAAAAGCUUGAGGAAGGUGGCUUGAGAUUCGUCUUAAGUGUUUAUAGCCUCUUGCCUAUGCAGUCGGAGAGAUUGAGGUCUGCAGCGUAGAUCCUUCGGGGCUAAAUGCAUUUGUGCUAAGUUAUAGCAUUUUAUAGACAACUUGUUGACUAUGAUUUGUCUUGUAGCUUACUCGCUUAUGUUAUUUUACCUACGCUUAGGAUGUUGACACACGCGCGUGCUCG
rnacentral:rRNA from 1 species